GACAGAGGUGCCGAGCGUUAGGCGGAAUCACUGGGCUUAAAGCGUGUGUAGGCGAGCCGUUAAGUAUCUUGUGAAAUCCCCCGGCUCAACCGGGGAAUGGCUGGAUAUACUGGCGGUCUUGAGCGAUCUAGGGGCAGAUGGAACAAGUGGUGGAGCGGUGAAAUGCGUAGAUAUCACUUGGAACGCCAAAGGUGAAAACAGUCUGCUGGGGAUCUGCUGACGCUGAGACACGAAAGCCAGGGGAGCAAACGGG
rnacentral:rRNA from 1 species